AUGCAAGUCGAACGAGACCUUCGGGUCUAGUGGCGCACGGGUGCGUAACGCGUGGGAAUCUGCCCUUAGGUACGGAAUAACUCAGAGAAAUUUGUGCUAAUACCGUAUGAUGUCGAAAGACCAAAGAUUUAUCGCCUAAGGAUGAGCCCGCGUAAGAUUAGCUUGUUGGUGAGGUAAAAGCUCACCAAGGCGACGAUCUUUAGCUGGUCUGAGAGGAUGAUCAGCCACACUGGGACUGAGACACGGCCCAGACUCCUACGGGAGGCAGCAGUGGGGAAUAUUGGACAAUGGGCGAAAGCCUGAUCCAGCAAUGCCGCGUGAGUGAUGAAGGCCUUAGGGUUGUAAAGCUCUUUUACCAGGGAUGAUAAUGACAGUACCUGGAGAAUAAGCUCCGGCUAACUCCGUGCCAGCAGCCGCGGUAAUACGGAGGGAGCUAGCGUUGUUCGGAAUUACUGGGCGUAAAGAGUACGUAGGCGGUGAUUCAAGUCAGAGGUGAAAGCCUGGAGCUCAACUCCAGAACUGCCUUUGAAACUAGAUCGCUAGAAUUGUGGAGAGGUUAGUGGAAUUCCGAGUGUAGAGGUGAAAUUCGUAGAUAUUCGGAAGAACACCAGUGGCGAAGGCGACUAACUGGACACAUAUUGACGCUGAGGUACGAAAGCGUGGGGAGCAAACAGGAUUAGAUACCCUGGUAGUCCACGCCGUAAACGAUGAUAACUAGCUGUUCGGGGUCUACGAUCCUGAGUGGCGCAGCUAACGCAUUAAGUUAUCCGCCUGGGGAGUACGGUCGCAAGAUUAAAACUCAAAGGAAUUGACGGGGGCCUGCACAAGCGGUGGAGCAUGUGGUUUAAUUCGAAAGCACGCGCAGAACCUUACCAGCGUUUGACAUCCUAAUCGCGG
rnacentral:rRNA from 1 species